GUGAGAUAGUGCAACAAACAGACCAUCUCAGGUGAGAUAGUGCAACAAACAGACCAUCUCAGGUGAGAUAGUGCAACAAACAGACCAUCUCAGGAAGAUGAGCAGGGACCACCUGGCUGCGGUGCGCGCGUUCCGGUCAUCGCGCGUAGGCUCGCAGCUCGAGUUCCCUGCGCUGCACGAGGAGCUCUUCCCGCUCCUCGACGAGAUCGCUAAUGGAGAACGAAGUUCAACAGACUGAAGUUAGACGAAACUGAAGGCGGUACGACAAAGUUGCGGCCGCUGUCCACCUCCACUGGCUCAAGCUCCUCCGUAUUAAUAAUAUAUUCUCCUUGACUUCUUCUGUGUUCUGGUCUAUGUGAUAGACGUGCGCUUGUUUGUUCAUAAUAAUUUAUUGUUCAUUAAUGCGUAGUUAUUUGUUCAGGGCCGAGUACAAUGACAGUGAGCGCCGGCCUGCGUCACUCUUAUAUUAUAUCACCGCUACUUUUUGUUCUUUUUAUCAAUUCAAUUGAUAAAAAGUUUCUGAUUGACUGAAUUCGAUCACGUGCGCUUGUUAAUUCGUCUCCAUUCCACCUAGAUUUAUUACCUAGUUAUAUGCAGCGCAGUUCUUACUAGACCAUUGAGGGGGUAGGGGUGCGGCGCGUAGCCGUGCUGAUGGCACCACCUUCGGCGGUGUAGGCGGCCGUGAAAGAAACAAUCGCAGGACGACUUUUACUCUUUUGCCUCUUCUAUUGGAUAUGAUAUUAUUCUUACACCAGAAUUAUCCAGAAAUGUAUUCUAUUCACGCCUUAUUAUUGGUCUCUCUUUUAUCAUAAUAUUAUAGUUAGAGAUGAAUUGUACGGGGAUGAAUUGGUUAGAUUAGGUAUAAUAAUUUUUACGUCAAUUUUUUCUUAUUUCGACAAGUUCAAAUGCAUGAAAUAGAAACACCGAAAUUCACAAAGACUCCCAUUUGUAGCCAAUACAUUAUUUAUUUGGGUAAAAUUGAUUUAAAUUCUAGGUUUAGCUGACCGACACGGUCAGCUUCACUCGUGCUUUUAAAUUCUUCGGCGUCCCGAUGUGCAUUUUCUUUUCAAGUUGAUAAAUUGAGUAAAAAUCUGCAUGCGAAGCUUUGUCAGCAUUUCGCUCAAAAAAAGCGCACGCGGUGGCCAUUGGACAGAAACAGAAUAUUUUUCCACUCCGAGGUUUGAGUGUAACAUUUUUAAAGUAUAGGGUCCUGACGGGACCUUGGGACGUAUAGGGUCCUGACGGGACCUUGGGA